GAUGAACGCUGGCGGCGUGCCUAAUACAUGCAAGUCGAGCGAAUGGAUUAAGAGCUUGCUCUUAUGAAGUUAGCGGCGGACGGGUGAGUAACACGUGGGUAACCUGCCCAUAAGACUGGGAUAACUCCGGGAAACCGGGGCUAAUACCGGAUAACAUUUUGAACCGCAUGGUUCGAAAUUGAAAGGCGGCUUCGGCUGUCACUUAUGGAUGGACCCGCGUCGCAUUAGCUAGUUGGUGAGGUAACGGCUCACCAAGGCAACGAUGCGUAGCCGACCGGAGAGGGUGAUCGGCCACACUGGGACUGAGACACGGCCCAGACUCCUACGGGAGGUAGCAGUAGGGAAUCUUCCGCAAUGGACGAAAGUCUGACGGAGCAACGCCGCGUGAGUGAUGAAGGCUUUCGGGUCGUAAAACUCUGUUGUUAGGGAAGAACAAGUGCUAGUUGAAUAAGCUGGCACCUUGACGGUACCUAACCAGAAAGCCACGGCUAACUACGUGCCAGCCGCCGCUGUAA
rnacentral:rRNA from 1 species